UACGUAGGGCGCAAGCGUUGUCCGGAAUUAUUGGGCGUAAAGAGCUCGUAGGCGGCUUGUCACGUCGGAUGUGAAAGCCCGGGGCUUAACUCCGGGUCGGCAUUCGAUACGGGCUGGCUAGAGUGUGGUAGGGGAGAUCGGAAUUCCUGGUGUAGCGGUGAAAUGCGCAGAUAUCAGGAGGAACACCGGUGGCGAAGGCGGAUCUCUGGGCCGAUACUGACGCUGAGGAGCGAAAGCGUGGGGAGCGAACAGG
rnacentral:rRNA from 1 species